rnacentral:rRNA from 1 species
UUCCGGUUGAUCCUGCCGGAGGCGACCGCUAUUGGAGUUCGAUUAAGCCAUGCGAGUCGCGAGAAAUUAGAUUCUCGGCGUACCGCUCAGUAACACGUGGAUAACCUGCCCUGUUCAGGGGGAUAACCUCGCGAAAGUGAGAAUAAUACCCCAUAGUUCACCAUGCCUGGAACGGUUGGUGGAUGAAAGCUACGGCGGAACAGGAUGGGUCUGCGGCGUAUCAGGUUGUAGGGGGUGUAAUGGACCUCCUAGCCAUCGACGCGUACGGGUUGUGGGAGCAAUCGCCCGGAGAUGGAUUCUGAGACACGAAUCCAGACCCCACGGGGUGCAGCAGGCGCGAAAACUUGACAAUGCGAGAAAUCGUGAUCAGGGAACUCCAAUUGACGCAGUUUUUACUGUUGUCUGAACCGACUCUAAAUAGGUCGGGUAAUAGGGGCGGGAAAUAUCGGUGCCAGCCGCCGCGGUAAUACCGAAGCCCCAAGUGGUCGUCGAUCUUAUUGGGCCUA